GAUGAACGCUGGCGGCGUGCCUAAUACAUGCAAGUCGAGCGAACGGACGAGAAGCUUGCUUCUCUGAUGUUAGCGGCGGACGGGUGAGUAACACGUGGAUAACCUACCUAUAAGACUGGGAUAACUUCGGGAAACCGGAGCUAAUACCGGAUAAUAUUUUGAACCGCAUGGUUCAAAAGUGAAAGACGGUCUUGCUGUCACUUAUAGAUGGAUCCGCGCUGCAUUAGCUAGUUGGUAAGGUAACGGCUUACCAAGGCAACGAUGCAUAGCCGACCUGAGAGGGUGAUCGGCCACACUGGAACUGAGACACGGUCCAGACUCCUACGGGAGGCAGCAGUAGGGAAUCUUCCGCAAUGGGCGAAAGCCUGACGGAGCAACGCCGCGUGAGUGAUGAAGGUCUUCGGAUCGUAAAACUCUGUUAUUAGGGAAGAACAUAUGUGUAAGUAACUGUGCACAUCUUGACGGUACCUAAUCAGAAAGCCACGGCUAACUACGUGCCAGCAGCCGCGGUAAUACGUAGGUGGCAAGCGUUAUCCGGAAUUAUUGGGCGUAAAGCGCGCGUAGGCGGUUUUUUAAGUCUGAUGUGAAAGCCCACGGCUCAACCGUGGAGGGUCAUUGGAAACUGGAAAACUUGAGUGCAGAAGAGGAAAGUGGAAUUCCAUGUGUAGCGGUGAAAUGCGCAGAGAUAUGGAGGAACACCAGUGGCGAAGGCGACUUUCUGGUCUGUAACUGACGCUGAUGUGCGAAAGCGUGGGGAUCAAACAGGAUUAGAUACCCUGGUAGUCCACGCCGUAAACGAUGAGUGCUAAGUGUUAGGGGGUUUCCGCCCCUUAGUGCUGCAGCUAACGCAUUAAGCACUCCGCCUGGGGAGUACGACCGCAAGGUCGAAACUCAAAGGAAUUGACGGGGACCCGCACAAGCGGUGGAGCAUGUGGUUUAAUUCGAAGCAACGCGAAGAACCUUACCAAAUCUUGACAUCCUUUGACAACUCUAGAGAUAGAGCCUUCCCCUUCGGGGGACAAAGUGACAGGUGGUGCAUGGUUGUCGUCAGCUCGUGUCGUGAGAUGUUGGGUUAAGUCCCGCAACGAGCGCAACCCUUAAGCUUAGUUGCCAUCAUUAAGUUGGGCACUCUAAGUUGACUGCCGGUGACAAACCGGAGGAAGGUGGGGAUGACGUCAAAUCAUCAUGCCCCUUAUGAUUUGGGCUACACACGUGCUACAAUGGACAAUACAAAGGGCAGCGAAACCGCGAGGUCAAGCAAAUCCCAUAAAGUUGUUCUCAGUUCGGAUUGUAGUCUGCAACUCGACUACAUGAAGCUGGAAUCGCUAGUAAUCGUAGAUCAGCAUGCUACGGUGAAUACGUUCUCGGGUCU
rnacentral:rRNA from 1 species